rnacentral:lncRNA from 12 species
AAAGAAGGUGGCACAAAGGAGAGCAUUAAACCACAGAGCCAGAACCAGAUCAGAGAUCCUCAGCUAUGCAGAUAAAAUUUCUUCAAGAGGACAAGGAUGACUCUCACACGGAGGGACAGUAUUUUCUUAGGUUGUGUUCCAGGGUGGUUGCAGAAUUCAGUGUUGUAGUUCACAUUGAGAAGUAGAGUGGGUCUGUGGGCCCACAAAGGUCAGGGAAGAGUGGGGCUAGGAAGGGUCAGUGGGGGUUUGGGGAAGAUGAGUGAUGCUCUGCUGUUUCUCUGGCUGCCUUCCUGGGGAAGCCACUGGCUGUCCCUAAGGGACUUUGCACUGUUGGUACGGAGCACUGACUGAGGGUUACCAUUUGUUGGUGGUUCUGCUGUGCUGGAUGAAUGCUUGACAUGGGACCCUCUUCCUUCUCAUUUUAGGUCUUCCCCCGCUUCCCUUCACCUUCUGUGGCAGAACGUGUUCCCUUCUUCUCCAGCAGCACACCACCUGCUCCAGCACCACUUUGCACCUUCCCUGCACAGCUGUCUCUCCCUGUCCUGGAAGCCAGCUGGGUUUGCAGCACAGGACCUUAAGUACCUAUUUGCACUGUGACAUCAAAGGAUCACAUUUUGAAAUUACAACUUUUCCUUUGAACAAGAAGAAAAAAAGGUUCCUGGUUGCUAUGGUGAUGAGCACUAUAUAAAUGCCUAUAAAUAAAUAAACUAAACAGCUGAUUC